rnacentral:piRNA from 1 species
UAGAACAGUGACUAAGACAGAUUAGCAAA